rnacentral:rRNA from 1 species
UAUGUGAUCGUCUCUCGCAUAUCAAUAAGCGGAGGAAAAGAAACUAACAAGGAUUCCCCUAGUAACGGCGAGUGAAGCGGGAAGAGCUCAAAUUUGAAAUCUUAAAGGGUUUCCCUUUACGAAUUGUAGUUUAAAGAAGUGUUUUCUGUUGAGGUUUUGGUAAAAGUUCUUUGGAAUAGGACAUCAUAGAGGGUGAGAAUCCCGUAUUUGACCUUUACUUUCAACUUUGUGAUACACUUUCAAAGAGUCGGAUUGUUUGGGAAUGCAGUCCAAAAUGGGUGGUAAAUUUCAUCUAAAGCUAAAUAUUGGCGAGAGACCGAUAGCGAACAAGUACCGUGAGGGAAAGAUGAAAAGAACUUUGAAAAGAGAGUUAAACAGUACGUGAAAUUGUCAAAAGGGAAGCGUUUGACACCAGUGUUGUUUUUCUGAAAAUCAAUUAAAGAACUGUUUAUGCUAAGCUGUUUAGACUUUAUCAGCUAACUGUUUAGUUUUGAGCUUUUCUUUAAUGCACUUUUCAGUUAACAAGUCAACAUCAAUUUCUUUUGCUGUAAAAAAGCUUGAGGAAGGUGGCUUGAGAUUCGUCUUAAGUGUUUAUAGCCUCUUGCCUAUGCAGUCGGAGAGAUUGAGGUCUGCAGCGUAGAUCCUUCGGGGCUAAAUGCAUUUGUGCUAAGUUAUAACAUUUUAUAGACAACUUGUUGACUAUGAUUUGUCUUGUAGCUUACUCGCUUAUGUUAUUUUACCUACGCUUAGGAUGUUGAGUAGCGACAUACGCAC